rnacentral:rRNA from 1 species
CUACGGGGCGCUGCAGUGGGGAAUCUUGCACAAUGGAGGAAACUCUGAUGCAGCGAUGCCGCGUGAGUGAAGAAGGCCCUUGGGUUGUAAAGCUCUUUUGUCGGGAAAGAUAAUGACUGUACCCGAAGAAUAAGGUCCGGCUAACUUCGUGCCAGCAGCCGCGGUAAUACGAAGGGACCUAGCGUAAUUCGGAAUUACUGGGCGUAAAGCGCGCGUAGGCGGUUAAGUAAGUUAAUUGUGAAAGCCCAAAGCUCAACUUUGGAAUUGCAAUUAAAACUACUUAGCUAGAGUUUAUCAGAGGAAAGCGGAAUACAUAGUGUAGAGGUGAAAUUCGUAGAUAUUAUGUAGAACACCAGUUGCGAAGGCGGCUUUCUGGGAUAACACUGACGCUGAGGUGCGAAAGUAUGGGUAGCGAAGAGGAUUAGAUACCCCUGUAGUC